ACAGCCUUUCCUCUACAGGGAGCCAGGUUCUGCUGUGGUGCAGUGGUUGCACAGCCUUUCCUCUACAGGGAGACAGGUUCUGCUGUGGUGCAGUGGUUGUACAGCCUUUCCUCUACAGGGAGACAGGUUCUGCUGUGGUGCAGUGGUUGUACAGCCUUUCCUCUACAGGGAGACAGGUUCUGCUGUUGUGCAGUGGUUGUACAGCCUUUCCUCUACAGGGAGACAGGUUCUGCUGUUGUGCAGUGGUUGCACAGCCUUUCCUCUACAGGGAGACAGGUUCUGCUGUGGUGCAGUGGUUGUACAGCCUUUCCUCUACAGGGAGACAGGUUCUGCUGUUGUGCAGUGGUUGCACAGCCUUUCCUCUACAGGGAGCCAGGUUUUCCUGUGUCUACACUUCUCAAUGGCAAGGCUGUGCUCACUGAGCCUGUACUUUGUCAAGGUUUUUCUAAGGUUUUGAUCAGUAACCAUGGUCAAAUUGUUAUCCAGUGUAAUGUCGACUUAGGGCCAGAUAGCACUGCAUUUCGCUUUGUGAUUGUGUUUCUCAAUAGGUCAUGUGGUUUUGUUUUGACUGUGUUGUAAUUUGUUUCAUUCUGAUUGAUUGGAUGUUCUGGUCCUGAGGCUUCAGUGUUAGUAGAACAGGUUAGUGAACUCAGGACCAGCUGGAUGAGGGGACUGAGGCUUCAGUGUUCGUAGAACAGGUUAGUGAACUCAGGACCAGCUGGAUGAGGGGACUGAGGCUUCAGUGUGUUAGUAGAACAGGUUAGUGAACUCAGGACCAGCUGGAUGAGGGGACUGAGGCUUCAGUGUGUUAGUAGAACAGGUUAGUGAACUCAGGACCAGCUGGA